ensembl:lncRNA
GGGGAUGGUUGUGAGGGUUUUGGGGUGACUCUGCAGAGUUCCAGGUGUUGAGGAUGGUUCUGGGGGUGUUGGGGUGACACUACAGCGUUCCAGGUGUCCCCUUCCAUUAAGUGUUGGGGACAGUCCUUGGAGUUGUUGGGGUGACGCUACAGGGUUCCAGUUGUCACCUUCUGUUAGGUGUUUGGGGCGGUCUUUGGGGGUGUUGGGGUGACCCUACAGCAUUCCAGGUGUCCCCUUCCAUUAAGUGUUGGGGACAGUCCAUGGGGUGACCCUAUAGCAUUCCAGGUGUCCCCUUCCAUUAGAUGUUGGUGGACAGUCCUUGGGGGUGUUGGGGUGACCCUACAGCAUUCCAGGUGUCACCUUCCAUUAAGUGUUGGGGACAGUCCUUGGGGUGACCCUAUAGCAUUCCAGGUGUCCCCUUCCAUUAGGUGUUGGGGACAGUCCUUGGGGUGACCCUAUAGCAUUCCAGGUGUCCCCUUCCAUUAGGUGUUGGGGACAGUCCUUGGGGUGUUGGGGUGACCCUCCAACGUUCCAGUUGUCACCUUCUGUUAGGUGUUGGGGGAUAUGGGGACGGUUCUUGGGGUGUUGGGGUGACCCUACAACGUUCCAGUUGUCCCCUUCCAUUAAGUGUUGGGGACAGUCCAUGGGGUGUUGGGGUGCCCCUACAACGUUCCAGGUGUCCCCUUCCAUUAAGAGUUGGGGACAGUCCUUGGGGUUGUUGGGGUGACGCUACAGGGUUCCAGUUGUCACCUUCUGUUAGGUGUUUGGGGCGGUCUUUGGGGGUGUUGGGGUGACCCUACAGCAUUCCAGUUGUCCCCUUCCAGUAAGUGUUGGGGACAGUCUAUGGGGUGACCCUAUAGCAUUCCAGGUGUCCCCUUCCAUUAGGUGUUGGGGGACAGUCCUUGAGAUUUUGGGGUGACACUACAGCAUUCCAGGUGUCCCCUUCCAUUAAGUGUUGGGGACAGUCCAUGGGGUGACCCUAUAGCAUUCCAGGUGUCCCCUUCCAUUCGCUGUUGGGGGACAGUCCUUGGGGGUGUUGGGGUGACACUACAGCAUUCCAGGUGUUCCCUUCCAUUAAGAGUUGGGGACAGUCCAUGGGGUGACCCUAUAGCAUUCCAGGUGUACCCUUCCAUUAGGUGUUGGGGGACAGUCCUUGGGGUUGUUGGGGUGACCCUACAGCAUUCCAGGUGUCCCCUUCCAUUAAGUGUUGGGGACAGUCCAUGGGGUGACCCCAUAGCAUUCCUGGUGUUCCCUUCCAUUAGGUAUUGGGGACAGUCCUUGAGAUUUUGGGGUGACACUACAGCAUUCCAGGUGUCCCCUUCCAUUAAGUGUUGGGGACAGUCCAUGGGGUGACCCUAUAGCAUUUCAGGUGUCCCCUUCCAUUAAGUGUUGGGGACAGUCCAUGGGGUGACCCUAUAGCAUUCCAGGUGUCCCCUUCCAUUAGGUGUUGGGGGACAGUCCUUGAGAUUUUGGGGUGACCCUACAGCAUUCCAGGUGUCCCCUUCCAUUCGGUGCUGGGGACAGUCCAUGGGGUGUUGGGGUGACACUACAACGUUCCAGUUGUCUCCUUCCAUUAAGUGUUGGGGACAGUCCAUGGGGUGACCCUAUAGCAUUCCAGGUGUCCCCUUCCAUUAAGUGUUGGGGACAGUCCUUGGGGUGUUGGGGUGCCCCUACAACGUUCCAGGUGUCCCCUUCCAUUAAGUGUUGGGGACAGUCCAUGGGGUGUUGGGGUGCCCCUACAAUGUUCCAGUUGUCCCCUUCCAUUAAGUGUUGGGGACAGUCCAUGGGGUGACCCUAUAGCAUUCCAGGUGUCCCCUUCCAUUAGGUGUUGGGGACUGUCCUUGAGAUUUUGGGGUGACACUACAGCAUUCCAGGUGUCCCCUUCCAUUAAGUGUUGGGGACAGUCCUUGGGAGUGUUGGGGUGACGCUACAGGGUUCCAGUUGUCACCUUCUGUUAGGUGUUGGGGGAUAUGGGGACGGUUCUUGGGGUGUUGGGGUGACACUACAGCAUUCCAGGUGUCCCCUUCCAUUAAGUGUUGGGGACAGUCCAUGGGGUGACCCUAUAGCAUUCCAGGUGUCCCCUUCCAUUCGCUGUUGGGGGACAGUCCUUGGGGGUGUUGGGGUGACACUACAGCGUUCCAGUUGUCCCCUUCCAUUAAGUGUUGGGGACAGUCCAUGGGGUGACCCUAUAGCAUUCCAGGUGUCACCUUCCACCAGGUGUUGGGGGACAGUCCUUGGGGUUUUGGGGUGACACUACAACGUUCCAGUUGUCCCCUUCCAUUAAGUGUUGGGGACAGUCCAUGGGGUGACCCUAUAGCAUUCCAGGUGUCCCCUUCCAUUAGGUGUUGGGGGACAGUCCUUGGGGUGUUGGGGUGACCCUACAACGUUCCAGUUGUCACCUUCUGUUAGGUGUUGGGGGAUAUGGGGACGGGUGUUGGGGUGCCCCUACAACGUUCCAGUUGUCCCCUUCCAUUAAGUGUUGGGGACAGUCCAUGGGGUGACCCUAUAGCAUUCCAGGUGUCCCCUUCCAUUAGGUGUUGGGGACAGUCCUUGGGGUUGUUGGGGUGACGCUACAGGGUUCCAGUUGUCACCUUCUGUUAGGUGUUGGGGGAUAUGGGGAUGGUUCUUGGGGUGUUGUGGUGCCCCUACAACGUUCCAGGUGUCCCCUUCCAUUAGGUGUUGGGGGACAGUCCUUGGGGGUGUUGGGGUGACCCUAUAGCAUUCCAGGUGUCCCCUUCCAUUAGGUGUUGGGGACAGUCCAUGGGGUGACCCUAUAGCAUUCCAGGUGUCCCCUUCCAUUAGGUGUUGGGGACAGUCCAUGGGGUGUUGGGGUGCCCCUACAACGUUCCAGUUGUCCCCUUCCAUUAAGUGUUGGGGACAGUCCAUGGGGUGACCCUAUAGCAUUCCAGGUGUCCCCUUCCAUUAGGUGUUGGGGGACAGUCCUUGAGAUUUUGGGGUGACACUACAGCAUUCCAGGUGUCCCCUUCCAUUAAGUGUUGGGGACAGUCCAUGGGGUGUUGGGGUGACACUACAGCAUUCCAGUUGUCCCCUUCCAUUAGGUGUUGGGGACAGUCCAUGGGGUGACCCUAUAGCAUUCCAGGUGUCCCCUUCCAUUAGGUGUUGGGGGACAGUCCUUGAGAUUUUGGGGUGACCCUACAGCAUUCCAGGUGUCCCCUUCCAUUAAGAGUUGGGGACAGUCCAUGGGGUGUUGGGGUGCCCCUACAACGUUCCAGGUGUCCCCUUCCAUUAGGUGUUGGGGACAGUCCUUGGGAGUGUUGGGGUGCCCCUACAACGUUCCAGGUGUCCCCUUCCAUUAAGUGUUGGGGACAGUCCAUGGGGUGUUGGGGUGCCCCUACAACGUUCCAGUUGUCCCCUUCCAUUAAGUGUUGGGGACAGUCCAUGGGGUGACCCUAUAGCAUUCCAGGUGUCCCCUUCCAUUAGGUGUUGGGGGACAGUCCUUGGGGUGUUGGGGUGACACUACAACGUUCCAGUUGUCCCCUUCCAUUAAGUGUUGGGGACAGUCCAUGGGGUGACCCUAUAGCAUUCCAGGUGUCCCCUUCCAUUAAGUGUUGGGGGACAGUCCUUGGGGGUGUUGGGGUGACACUACAACGUUCCAGUUGUCCCCUUCCAUUAAGUGUUGGGGACAGUCCUUGGGGGUGUUGGGGUGACACUACAGCAUUCCAG